UCAACAACUCCAGGCUUAAGCUAUUUCCAGGAAAAUUGAGAUCGAGAUGGUCUGGUCCAUAUACCAUUACACAAGUAUUUCCACAUGGAGCGGUUGAGAUCACUCA
rnacentral:rRNA from 1 species